rnacentral:lncRNA from 1 species
GUUUUGUGGAAGGAGAGGUAGGGGUCAGAGCAAGGUGACAGAAUAAAUAUGCAAAUGACAUGGAACCAACCCAACCUUAGGUGUAAUGCAUCCCCAUCUACAAUUAGUAACACCCCAAGCAAGUGGCAGAAAAGUGUCCCUGCUGCAAACAUCAACACUGAGAAUAAAUAUUCCAGGGGCCAGUGGGCCAGCGAAAAGUCCACAGCUGUCUCUCAUGCCUCUUCCAUCCCAUCUUUGUUUGUGUGUUUCUUUCCCCAUAUGAAAUUGUGGUUGGAGUGAAACCAUGUUCCUUCCCUGACAUCUGUAAGCUGGGAUGUUGUCCUCCUCAGCUGUGCUUCUCAGUUCUCACCCAACCACCCAAUCUACCUCCAGCCCCCCCCCAUAGGUUUGCUUGUGAGAAUAAGAGUGGGAAUAUGGAUUUUAGCAUCUAUCUCGUGUGAGUGACAAUUAGCAUUGCUCACACUGGUUCCCAAUAAUACCGUAGACGUGGACCGUGGCUGCACCUACUACACCAAGAAUACAAAACAUUAAGGACACCUGCUCUUUCCAAGACACAGACUGGCCAAGUGAAUCCAGGUGAAAGCUAUGAUCCAUCAUUGAUGUCACUUAAAUCCACUUAAAUCAGUGUAGAUGAAGGGGAGGAGAAGGAUUUUUAAACCUUGAGACAAUUGAGACAUGGAUUGUGUAUGUGUGCGAUUCAGAGGGUGAAUGGGCAAGACAAAAUAUUUAAGAACCUUUGAACAGGGUAUAGCAGUAGGUGCCAGGCACACCCGUUUGUGUCAGGAACUGCAACGCUGCUGGGCUUUUCACGCUCAACAGUUUCCCGUGUGUAUCAGGUGGACCAACCAACUUGGCACAACUGUGGGAAGCAUUGGAGUCAACCAAAAAUUCAGCCCAGCCCAAAAAGACGUAGGCCUACUUCCUAAUUUCACGCCAUUAUAUAAAUGUGUCAAUCAUUCAUAACAGAAGAAAAAGCAUGAAUGAACAUAUACUGCUCAAAAAAAUAAAGGGAACACUUAAACAACACAUCCUAGAUCUGAAUGAAAGAAAUCAUCUUAUUAAAUACUUUUUUCUUUACAUAGUUGAAUGUGCUGACAACAAAAUCACACAAAAAUAAUCAAUGGAAAUCCAAUUUAUCAACCCAUGGAGGUCUGGAUUUGGAGUCACACUCAAAAUGAAAGUGGAAAACCACACUACAGGCUGAUCCAACUUUGAUGUAAUGUCCUUAAAACAAGUCAAAAUGAGGCUCAGUAGUGUGUGUGGCCUCCACGUGCCUGUAUGACCUCCCUACAACGCCUGGGCAUGCUCCUGAUGAGGUGGCGGAUGGUCUCCUGAGGGAUCUCCUCCCAGACCUGGACUAAAGCAUCCGCCAACUCCUGGACAGUCUGUGGUGCAACGUGGCGUUGGUGGAUGGAGCGAGACAUGAUGUCCCAGAUGUGCUCAAUUGGAUUCAGGUCUGGGGAACGUGCGGGCCAGUCCAUAGCAUCAAUGCCUUCUUCUUGCAGGAACUGCUGACACACUCUAGCCACAUGAGGUCUAGCAUUGUCUUGCAUUAGGAGGAACCCAGGGCCAACCGCACCAGCAUAUGGUCUCACAAGGGGUCUGAGGAUCUCAUCUCGG